rnacentral:rRNA from 1 species
CUCGUGGGCGGUUCGUCGCGUCCGGUGUGAAAGUCCAUCGCUUAACGGUGGAUCCGCGCCGGGUACGGGCGGGCUUGAGUGCGGUAGGGGAGACUGGAAUUCCCGGUGUAACGGUGGAAUGUGUAGAUAUCGGGAAGAACACCAAUGGCGAAGGCAGGUCUCUGGGCCGUCACUGACGCUGAGGAGCGAAAGCGUGGGGAGCGAACA